UGUGUGUGUGUGUGUGCGCGCACGCGCGCGCGCGCGCACACACACACACACG
rnacentral:miRNA from 1 species